GGUUCAUUAUCAAUGCUCAUAUAUAACGCUGACCUAAAACAACUUGAAAAGAGUCGUCGGUUAAUCAUUGAACAGUAAUUAACGACUUGACUUGUAUAUUGAAUUAUACAAGUUUUCUCGAUGAAACGAGAAAGGUAUUUGAGUGCAGUGCUGUUUAUUCAUCUGCUCACUUCCAAAAUCAUGUUCGCUCAAAUAGUACCCAGAUUGAAUAUUAGCCUACCACCCAUAAAAAUAAAUACCGGAAAUAAGCCCUUCACAUUCAGUGGAACCCCAAUAGUAUCACCUACUGGAAGACUUAUCGGGGGGACCGCUGGGAUCAAUUGGAAGCCCGCGGGGUCCAACACUGGGUUCAACGGGAACCUGGGUUGGAGAAACGGAAUGGGUUGGAGUGGCGGCUUAGGAGUUCGCAUAAAUUUUGGCGGAGGCAGAGGCAGAGGCAGAGGCAGAGGUUGAGGUGGGGGCGGAGGGGUAGGCGGAAGAAAUGAAUUAAAACUCGCCCCAUCUGAAUGAUGUUGUUAUUCAGUGUAUGCAAGUAAUAGAAAUAUACUUGUUGUUCAAAUAAACAUAUAAACGAA